GAUUCUCUUCCCUUGUGUAAUUUUUAUUUUCAGUAUUUUUGCACAGAACCCUAGUUGUGUCGUCCCAUGUUGUAACCCUAGGUAUAAAUUGUAUUUUAUUUUCUGUUCAGCCUUUUUUGAUAAUUUUUUCCCUCUCCUGUUGCUGCCCCUCUUCUCUUUUCUCAUUUUCCCCAAUUUUCUUUUCCUUUCUUUUUUUUCAUUGUGCCGCCCCUACGUCUCAAUUUUCUACCAUACCCUUCUUCUUUCUUACAUUACGUCUCAAUUUUCUCCCAUACUCUUCUUCUUUCUUACAUUGUUGUCGCCGCUUUAGUGAACAACCACCAUUGUUGUAGUCGUCCAUUAGAGAUCUCCCACCUUCUCUUUGUUUUCUUUCUUUUUCCUAUGAUGGCUAAAUACUACAGGGUCUAUGGUCAAAUUUCUCAUGUGCUAAUUUCAUGAAUUUUUCUUUGUCAAAGGUCUAGACUUGAAUUUCCUCAGAUCUCCAGUGAAGUUUGAGGCCGUACGCAUCUUUCAUUUGAUCAGUAUAAGUGUACAAAUCUAAACAGGAUUUAGUCAGAUAUGAGACAUAGGAGUAGUGGAUUAUUUUUAGUGCUUCAGAUUGUGUUUUCAGGUGUGGUUCUUAAAUUUGGGUGUAUUGGUGAUUAUUGAAAGUAUGUGUUAUGUAUGGCCUUGUGUCAGAUAAGGGAUUGCCGAACAUGGUAAGUGUUAAGAAGCGAUGGUUGAAUGUUUAAGGGCCUUUAAUUAUGGUUAAUUGGGUGUGUAAGUGUCAUAUGUAUUAUCUGAUUGUAUGUCUAUUGGGAUGUAUGAUGUGUUAUUAUUUAUUGUUUACAUGUAAAAGCAUGCCACUGAUUUUUACUGUACAUACCAAUUGCAUGUAAAACAUGUCACUAUACUGAUAAACUAAAAGCAUGUUAAGCAUGCCACUGUUAUUGAUAUUGUCAAUGACUAGCAUGAUAUGCUACAUUAUUAGUAAGACAUAUUGUAUUGGAUGGGGAUUGGGGAUUGAUUGGUGAUGGAGGAGUUUUGUAGAGUCGGAUAGUUUAUUCGCAUUAUUACACUAGCAGUUAAUCUGCAACCUUUGGAGUACUAGUGGUUUAUCCGCAACUUACUAGCAGUUUGACUGUCAAUUAUUGACUAUUUAACUAUAAAUUAUUACUAGUGGUUCAUUCACAUUGAGCUACGACUGUGUAUCAGAUGACGAGUAUUGGAAACUCGUAAUUUAUAGUGGAUGGAUGGGUAGGACCUAUGCACUGUUUCAUAUAUGCAUGUCAUGUAAAAAAAUUGUAAUAUUAAGGACUGUGAUGUCUUGAUUUACUGUAUGUUUUUUUUUUUUAUAAUGAUGGUUGUAUGCUUCACUAAUUGUUUGUAUGUCUAUACAUUGUUUACAUAUACAUUGUUUACAUAUGUUUAGACUCACAUUGAGCUUUUCAAGCUCACCCAUUUAAUUUACUUAUUACUUAUAACCCUCAAGGUUAGGAUCAGACACGAUAUUUGGAGGUCUCGUCUUAAAUUUAUUUAAUAAGUACUUUUAAUUUUUACUUUAUUUUAUUAUGGUUUUUGAGGAUUGUAAUUUUGUAAAUUAUGGACUGUGGCAUGAGUUUGUUUUUAUUUGGGUUUUUGCAUGCAUGAAA